UUUUAUUGGAAGAGCUAAAUGGCAUUUAAUUAACACUUCAGUCCAAAAAUUAAAACCUAUGGGCGUAGGCUACCUAAACGGCAGCAUUUUGGCCGUGAGAAUGAAAAGGAGAUACGUGAUUUUCUCCUAUUCCCUUCCCUCUCUCUUGCUACACACUAUCUUUCAUCUCUGCGCUGCCUUCCUCUCUCCCAGACCCUGCAUCCUUCUCUCACACCAAGCCCCUCACUCACAACUCAACAACUCUUUUCCGUCGACACCGUCUCAUUCUCCUCCACUUUAGGUGUCCCUGAGGCUAUAUAUAUUAUUCUCCUCUCUCAGUGAGCUAAUCGGUUCACAGUUUGCAUAUCAGCUCAGCCAUAUGGAUCAUCUUAUGAAGUUUUUGAGUUAGUGGAGAUGCCAGCAGGAUUUUCAAGUAAUAGGUAUUUAGUUGGCUGUAUUUUCUUCUGUAAGUAGUAAUUAUUUAAUACUUGCAGCUACUGCUUAUCAAGUUUUCAAGGCAAAAUUCCAGAUUUAUGAAAAAUAACCCUACUGUCUUGAUGGUGGGAAUCAAUAUGUUGCAGGCAUGUAAUAAGUUAUGGAGUUUGGUUAGUUUCAAUGCUAAGAUAAACUACACACUAAGUAGUUAAAAGUA